GAGGAAGUUCUUUGUGCUGCUUGUGAUGCUCAUCUGGGCCAUGUCUUUGAUGAUGGACCGCCCCCAACUGGGAAGCGUUACUGCAUCAACAGUGCUGCACUGAAAUUGAAGCCGAAAUAAGCGAAGGUGAAGAUAUUACUAUGCCUGCCUGCAAAUUCUGUAACUCAUACUCAUUACAUGUUUGUGCACAUAAACUAAGGAUUCUUGCUAGAUGUAUAAGUUUAUUGUGCUGAAUGGAAAUAAUUGUACCUUUUGGUGUCGUU